rnacentral:rRNA from 1 species
GUGGCGGACGGGUGAGUAAUGCUUGGGAAUCUGGCUUAUGGAGGGGGAUAACUACGGGAAACUGUAGCUAAUACCGCGUAGAAUCGAGAGAUGAAAGUGUGGGACCGCAAGGCCACAUGCCAUAAGAUGAGCCCAAGUGGGAUUAGGUAGUUGGUGGGGUAAAGGCCUACCAAGCCGACGAUCUCUAGCUGGUCUGAGAGGAUGACCAGCCACACUGGAACUGAGACACGGUCCAGACUCCUACGGGAGGCAGCAGUGGGGAAUAUUGCGCAAUGGGGGGAACCCUGACGCAGCCGUGCCGCGUGAAUGAAGAAGGCCUUCGGGUUGUAAAGUUCUUUCGGUGAUGAGGAAGGGUGGUGUUUUAAUAGAGCACUACAUUGACGUUAGUCACAGAAGAAGCACCGGCUAACUCCGUGCCAGCAGCCGCGGUAAUACGGAGGGUGCGAGCGUUAAUCGGAAUAACUGGGCGUAAAGGGCACGCAGGCGGUGACUUAAGUGAGAUGUGAAAUCCCCGAGCUUAACUUGGGAACUGCAUUUCAGACUGGGUUGCUAGAGUAUUUUAGGGAGGGGUAGAAUUCCACGUGUAGCGGUGAAAUGCGUAGAGAUGUGGAGGAAUACCGAAGGCGAAAGCAGCCCCUUGGGAAUAUACUGACGCUCAUGUGCGAAAGC